rnacentral:rRNA from 1 species
GACGAACGCUGGCGGCGUGCCUAAUACAUGCCAGUCGAACGCUGAAGGAGGAGCUUGCUUCUCUGGAUGAGUUGCGAACGGGUGAGUAACGCGUAGGUAACCUGCCUGGUAGCGGGGGAUAACUAUUGGAAACGAUAGCUAAUACCGCAUAAGAGUAGAUGUUGCAUGACAUUUGCUUAAAAGGUGCAAUUGCAUCACUACCAGAUGGACCUGCGUUGUAUUAGCUAGUUGGUGGGGUAACGGCUCACCAAGGCGACGAUACAUAGCCGACCUGAGAGGGGGAUCGGCCACACUGGGACUGAGACACGGCCCAGACUCCUACGGGAGGCAGCAGUAGGGAAUCUUCGGCAAUGGACGGAAGUCUGACCGAGCAACGCCGCGUGAGUGAAGAAGGGUUUCGGAUCGUAAAGCUCUGUUGUAAGAGAAGAACGAGUGUGAGAGUGGAAAGUUCACACUGUGACGGUAGCUUACCAGAAAGGGACGGCUAACUACGUG